rnacentral:rRNA from 1 species
CCUACGGGGAGCAGCAGUGGGGAAUAUUGGACAAUGGGCGAAAGCCUGAUCCAGCCAUGCCGCGUGUGUGAAGAAGGCCUUCGGGUUGUAAAGCACUUUCAGUGGGGAAGAAAGCCUUGGGGCUAAUACCCUCGAGGAAGGACAUCACCCACAGAAGAAGCACCGGCUAACUCCGUGCCAGCAGCCGCGGUAAUACGGAGGGUGCGAGCGUUAAUCGGAAUUACUGGGCGUAAAGCGCGCGUAGGCGGUCUGAUAAGCCGGUUGUGAAAGCCCCGGGCUCAACCUGGGAACGGCAUCCGGAACUGUCAGGCUAGAGUGCAGGAGAGGAAGGUAGAAUUCCCGGUGAAGCGGUGAAAUGCGUAGAGAUCGGGAGGAAUACCAGUGGCGAAGGCGGCCUUCUGGACUGACACUGACGCUGAGGUGCGAAAGCGUGGGUAGCAAACAGGAUUAGAUACCCUAGUAGUC